rnacentral:rRNA from 1 species
AUGGCGUCCACGCCCUCCCUCACCCUCCUCCUCGCUCUUGUGCUGCCCCUCAUCCCUCUCGCCGUCGCAGCUCCGGAGAAGCACCUCGUGACCCACCUCCCGGGCUUCGACGGCGCCCUCCCGUCCAAACACUACGCCGGGUACAUAACCGUGGACGAGAGCAAUGGCAGGAGGCUGUUCUACUACCUGGUACUGUCGGAGCGUGAUCCGGCCGCCGACCCGGUCGUGCUCUGGCUCAACGGCGGCCCCGGCUGCUCCAGCUUCGACGGAUUCGUCUACGAGAACGGUCCCUUCAACUUUGAGCGUGGAAGCACUCCCGGAGGGCUGCCCAAGCUGCACCUCAAUCCCUAUAGUUGGUCAAAGGUUUCAAGCAUGAUAUACCUGGACUCCCCUGCCGGUGUUGGGAUGUCAUACUCAUUGAACAAAUCGGAUUACACAACAGGUGACCUGAAAACCGCAGCCGAUGCGCAUACCUUCCUUUUGAAGUGGUUCGAGUUAUACCCAGAGUUUCAGUCGAACCCAUUCUACAUUUCCGGAGAGUCAUAUGCAGGGAUAUACAUUCCUACACUAGCUGAUGAAGUUGUCAAAGGGACACAGAAGGCUCUGAAGCCAAAAAUCAAUUUGAAGGGCUAUCUAAUUGGUAAUGGAGUAACCGACUUAGACUACGAUUUAAACUCUUUUGUGCCGUUUGCACAUGGGAUGGGUCUCAUAUCAACCGACCUGUUUGAGGAUGUCAGUGCUGCUUGCCAUGGAACAUUCUGGGGAAAAGUUAAUGAUGUAUGCCAAGAAAAGAUAGAUAGAGUCCGUUGGGAACUGAAAGAUCUGAAUACGUACAACAUUCUUGCACCAUGCUACCACCACCCUGAAGUCCAAGAGACAGCGUUCGUGAACAGCAGCUUGCCAUCAAGCUUCAGAAAGCUAGGUGAAACAGAGAGGCCUUUCCCAGUGAGGAAGAGGAUGGCGGGCCUUUCAUGGCCUCUCGGUCUUCCUGUGAGCAGUGGACAUGUCACGCUGUGGCCUGAGCUUGGCGGUAGAUCACUUCCAUGCACGAGUGAUGAACUUGCUACUAUAUGGCUGGAUGAUGAAGAUGUAAGAGCUGUCAUUCACGCCAAACCGAAAAGCUUAAUUGGAUCAUGGGAAUUGAAUACUGCAAGAAUAGACUACACUCAUGAUACAGGCAGCAUGGUGGAGUAUCACAAAAAAUUCACAGCUACGGGAUAUCGCGUACUUAUUUACAGUGGAGAUCAUGAUCUAUGUAUCCCUUUCACUGGAACGGAGGCAUGGGUCAGAUCAUUAGGCUACCGAGUUGUCGAUUCAUGGCGACCAUGGCACUUUGGGGGGCAAGUUGCUGGAUAUACACAAGGCUAUGAUCACAAUCUCACCUUCCUCACCAUAAAGGGAUCUGGACACACUGUUCCUGAGUACAAGCCCAAAGAAUCGCUGGCAUUCUACACCCACUGGCUGUUUGGAGAAAAGAUCUAA